AUUGAACGCUGGCGGCAGGCCUAACACAUGCAAGUCGAGCGGUUGACGGGAGCUUGCUCCCUGAUUCAGCGGCGGACGGGUGAGUAAUGCCUAGGAAUCUGCCUAUUAGUGGGGGACAACGUUUCGAAAGGAACGCUAAUACCGCAUACGUCCUACGGGAGAAAGCAGGGGACCUUCGGGCCUUGCGCUAAUAGAUGAGCCUAGGUCGGAUUAGCUUGUUGGUGAGGUAAUGGCUCACCAAGGCGACGAUCCGUAACUGGUCUGAGAGGAUGAUCGGUCACACUGGAACGGGAACACGGUCAAGCCUCCUACGGGAGACAGCAGGGGGGAAUAUUGGACAAUGGGCGAAAGCCUGAUCCAGCCAUGCCGGGUGUGUGAAGAAGGUCUUCGGAUUGUAAAGCACUUUAAUUUGGGAGGAAGGGUUGUAUAUUAAUACUCUGCAAUUUUGACGUUACCGACAGAAUAAGCCCCGGCUAACUCGGUGCCAGCCGCCGCCGUAA
rnacentral:rRNA from 1 species